rnacentral:lncRNA from 10 species
GUCACUAAUCCUAAAAGGAAUGUUACUUUUAUAUUAAUGUUUCUAGUAAUGUACAACGACAACUAGUGGAAGGAAGCAGGCAUUACAAUCCAUUGGUAUAACUGACAGGUAUCAAACUUCACUGUCAGUUAUGGUCUAUAGGACCCCCACUAACAGUGGUAAUCUUAAUGCUCAUAUUCUGACGCUGUAUUUUAAACCUUCAUGUAAAACUUAUCUCUUUUUACCUAGAAGCAAUCAAACCCCAAAUGGUGCUGUGAGCAGAGCCACACAUGGACACGCCAUUCUUCCGAGAACCCUUAGAUCAACCUCAGGAGAAGGCCGAACUGCUGCUCCCUGAGAUGACACCACUUUUCAGCAGGGAGUAGUCAGAAAUAAUCGUCAUCCAACACCCCCUAACAGCAAGACUAAAACAACUUUACCAGAUUGAAACACUCAAGACAAAGGAGCCCAGGAACAAAAUUCAUCAGAAAACUAGAGGAAGUUUUCAUGGAGUUGCUGGAAUAGAAGAACCUGGCCUGCCUUUCCUGGGAGACAGCAAAGAAGUUUGCAAUCCACCUGGGGUUGUGUCAAUAAAUAAAUCACCAAUGGAAAAUCAGAACCCUAGAUCUGCACCACACAUAGUUGUGAAAUAUGACUUCAAAUACCCGUGGAGUAUGAACAUCAAAAUAAAAAGUUAAUGUAAAAAGUAGUCUAGUACUACUGCAGACCAUAGAGAAUAACAGAGACAGAUACAAUAUGUUCUGUAGAGACACUUCCAGAGCAGCAAGGCUCCCAAAGUGCUGUUGAAGAUAACCUCACAAUCAAAUAUUAAAAAUUAUGCAAAUAAAUAUAAUUAAUUUGCACAAGGUAAAUCAGCAAAUGAAACAAACAUCAGUAAAUGAACUAAAUAUCACCUCCAGAAGUAUAAAUAAUAGAACAAUCUAAAAGAGAUACCAAAAUAGAUUAAACCGAUUAAAGAAUAAUAGAAACUAAGACACAAAUAGAAUAAUUAAAAAUAUGUAAAUUUGAAACAGAAUUAAAGUAGAAUUCUAAAAAUGAAUGAAAAGGUCAAUAAAAUAAGUCACUCAAUUGACAGAUAAAUAAAUAAAUAAUGAUUUUAAAGAUAGACCUGUGAAAAAUAACAUUGGUAAUUUGAUAGGUAUUGUACUGGAUCUGUAAAUUGCUUUGGGCAGUAUGGUUAUUUUAAUGAUAUUCAUUCUUUCAAUCUCUGAG